GCAGCGCCCCACUCAACAAAGCUUCCCGCGGGCCCUGCCCCAUGACUCACCGCUGGGUGGGGCGGGCACGCAGGCAACCCGCGGGCCGAGACAGGGUAGUGAGGGCCGGAAGCCCGGCUCCCGACUCCGCUUCGCCCCCAUAACCUCCGGCCGCCUGAAGUCCUGAGGGGCCGUGGCCCUGGGUCGUCUCCCCUGUUCCCAGCCUCCAGUCGCAGCUGGCGGAGAGAAGUUCCCGAGGCCCCCCCCACUUGCAAGGUCCCUUGCCCCGCCCAGAGCUGAGCCUUCCGAGGAUCUGAGGACCGAGUCCAGCCCAGCUCCCAGGAGGGGCCGGGAUCCUGGGGCAGGGAAUGAGGGGCAGGGGCUGGCUGUAAAGUCGGGCGGGAGAGGGGCACUAACCGAGAUGGGGGCUGAGCCUCCGGUCUGGGAGCUUCGGGAGGCGCGUGGCGGGAUGGAAAACAUUCCUGAGACCGUUGGAUUGGAUUUCCGAAUUUGGGAGGCUAGGACUCCGGCUACGGUGGCUCUGCUCUUGGGAUGAGAGGACUGGGCCCAGCUUGCGAGGAAUCAUGAAGUGGACACAGGGUGGGAACGUGAAUUUUAAUGAGGGGGCAGACCGAGGAGGUGGUGGCUGCCCGGAGAUCAGGGCCAGGCUCUGCUAGAUGGCGCCUGGAAGGGGGGUCACCCAAGUCUCCCUGCUGUCAUUUCAGGAGGCCGAAUUUUUUCCCGAUCCCAGAGAAGGUGUCAGAGGCCUGGUUAGCAGUCUUGUCGAUGGUUUCCUGGGUGGUCUUGGCCAGCUGGUCCAUGGCUGGGGAAGGGCGGGAGAGAGGGCAGGUCAGGCAGGGCCCCGGGAACCACAGUGCACGUAGGCUUAGCCUGGCCUGGGUCUCCCGGGGGACCUGCUUGGGGCAUUGUGGACAGAGGGCUCUGCAGAGGAGAGGAUGUGCCUGGGCCCCAGCCGGGAUGGGGCGGGGAGUGGGAGGUGUGCUGGGGUUGCCCGCCUCCCUCCAGCCCCACCAGACCUUUCUGCCCCGCCUCUGUGGCCUGGUCCACCACUUGCUGAGCUGCCGCUCCGGCCGCUGACACUGGAACAGAGAGAUGUGGCUUUUAGCCCCUGUUGAGGCACCACCGACUACAGGUGCCCCACCAUUGCCAUGCCUCUGUGUGCUCCAGAGUAUUCGGUGGUACAGGUCCAAGGGAUGGAUGCCAUGGAGAUAAAGUCCCUGGCCCAGGGCCCCCCAGCCCGAGGGGCAGGAGACCUUUCCAUGCCUCUGGGAUGUUUUUGUUUAUUUCUAACUCUGAGCUCCUUCUCUGUGGGGGAGGAGCUUCCCUUUCCGUCUCCAGGGCUGCUGAGAAAAUGUUGGACAGAGGAAGGAAGGCAGGGCAGGGCCAGGCUGCAGCUAGCAUCUGGACUGUUGGCUAAGGCUGGUGAUGGCACAGAAGACCCUUGCCCCCUUUUACAGCUUCUCGCCUAGAAGCCUGGCCCAGAUGCCUGAAUUCCCACCUUCCAUGCACUUAGCCCUGGGGCUUGCAGUUUUGCCAGGUCCUUACUGCCUCCUCCCUCCUGUGGCCUGCCCGGAGGGGCACACAAGCAAAGCCAGUGCCUCUGUGGACAGGCAGCUUAAGACAUUAGGAGACAAAUGAAGGAAGGAGGCAAAACUUCCAAGGCCGGACUAUCUCCUCUGGACCAGAGUUUCGGCCUGCUGGGAAUGGAGUCACCAGCCCCGGGGGGGCUGACAGGUGGCUCCCGCCUGCAGAGCUGUAACUCAUCCCUGCUGCUGAACAGGAAAGGGCCUGCCUUACCCAGACCCCAUCCUCCAGAAAGGCUCUCAGAUGGAAAAGUGAAGCCCAGAAGGAAGGGACCUGACACGGAGGCUUCCUUGGUAGCGUUUCAGUCUCAAGGGAAGAACUGUGGGCCUCCCCUGGAGCACUGGUGAAGGAAGGGGUUGGUUUGGAUAUUGUCUCCUGACUGGGAUAUGGGCAGGACUGACAGGGAGCUGGAGUCCUAACGAAGCCUGGGCUAGGUGCAGGAAGAACCAACCCAGUGGUCUCCUGACAUCUCCCAUGCCCCCACCGCAGCUGGGUCACCUCCGGAAUAAGGAAGAGAGAGCUGGAGGUGGAGGAACUAAGGACCUUCUUUGCCAGGUGGGGACUUAAAGGUAAGGCGACGAUUACUUUUCGGCGAUGGGGGUGGGAUGGAAACAAAGCCCUUAGAGGUCUGGGGCAGCCUCUGGUGGCGCGCGCGGGUUAAGUGGUGGCGGGCCGCGCCCGGUCCCGGUCCUGGACCUUCACCCUCUCCUGAGGGCCUGGGCGGGCCGCCCAGCGCCCGCAUGGCCUCCUCGGAGGGGCUCCCGCAGUGCCCGCAGCGCAGCUCCGGCUCCUCCGGAGCCUCUGUUCCGCUGCCUCCCUGCGGGCACCAUCUCUCUGCUCGCCGGGGUGGGCGUUCUGCCUGCCCCCUGCGUCUCAGUGGAGGACCGAGCCUUCCGAGCCAAGCUGCCGGUCCAGGAACUUGCGGACCGCGCCGACCCGCUGCUUCUGCCUGCGCAUCCACGCAGGUGCCCCUGCCUGAGCCCUAGGUCGCGCGCUAUCCUCACCGGCUUCCUGGGCGGUCCCCUCCACCUGUUGCUUCAGGUCCUGCAAGCCCUUGCUUGCCAUGGCUUUGGGGUAUCUGUGGAGUCGUCAAGAGCAGCUGGAGCGAUGUUGGAUCCUGCCCAGAGUGGCGAUGCCAAGCGCCAGCUCCAGUUUUUAAGGCGCCCCAGGGCUGGCCUGCCCCGCGUAGGGGAGAGGGCGCGGGGCGGUUCCCGUCAUACAGGCUCCGGGGAGUGGCCGGGCCCUGCUCCAGAGUCCGCAGGGCAGGGAGCACAUCCUGGCCUAAGACGGGCCGCGGUGGGAAAGGGGCAGACCGAACCAGGGACCGAAGAGGUGCUAGGACAGGGGUCCAGAGAGGAGCUGGAGGCAGGAGAAGGGGGCACACCACCUCCCAGCUCAUCAGCCCCAGCCCUCCCUUUCUGAUCCUGGGCGUGAGCGCUGGGUCAGCUCCAAGGCAGGAGCUCAGGGCUGGUGUUGACAUUAAUGACAGCAGUGGUCUUUUACUGAGCAUUUGUCUUGUGCCAGGUGCUGCCUAACGCUCUGCAGUCUGUUGUAUAAUCUUUACAACCACCUCCUGAAGUGGGUAUUUUUGUUAAUAGCAUCAGUGUAUAGGAGGAAACUGAGGCAGUGAGGUCGGUCUCACCCAAACGCAUGUGGCAGGGACUUGGAUCCUCGAAUCUGCCUAGGUGCCUGUAAACCCUAGGGCUCUGGCAUCAUCGGAGCCCCCAGCCCCAAACAGCUGCAGGGGCACUGCUGACUGGCUCUCUGCCUGUAGCCAGAGACCCAGUGGAUGCAGACGGAGAGGGCCUGGUAAAUCCUUCCCCUGAGAGGGUGAGAUAUAGCAUACAGUGAAGUUGUUCUCUGAAAUUCCUCAUCUGCCUUAAGUCUGGACCCAUCAAAGAAGAAAACAAUGACCACUGGUCCUUUCCCAGAGUUUUCUCUGACUGAACUCCUGUCACAGGAAGAAAGACUGAAGCCUGCUCACACACCUGGACAGAUUUUGCAAACCGUUGUCUGCUCUGUGAGCCCAACAGACUUUGUCCCAGGCCACUGUAUGUUCUUCAAGCCCACUGAAUUCCCCUGAAAAUCAUUUACUAGCCCCCUGAAAUUACCCACACUUCCUCAUUGCUCAUCUGUACCCCAUUUCGUGGUGGGGCAGUCACUCUGAUUUCCCCUUGCAUGCUAAUGAAUGUGUAUUCCAUUUC
rnacentral:antisense_RNA from 1 species